rnacentral:lncRNA from 1 species
UCUGUUAGAUAACCCUGUCUCUCUAGGUUUCAAAAAUAUCUUCACCCCAUCGCAAGUGACCAGGAGGGACUUCUGGGCCUCACCCAACUCACUACCGCAGUGAGUCGCUAGUACUGGAUUUCAUCUGAGUUAUAAAUACAACAGCCUGGCAAAGGGCAAGUCAAUGGAAUCAAUACGAUCUGCCCUAGCGUCCGCGUAUUUUCCAGCCUGCUCCACUGCUAAUCACUCCUGAAGCCUCUUUGGUGCCCCGGCUUUAUUGAUUGCCUCUGCAGAAGAAUGUGUGUGUGUGGGGUCCCCAAGGACACAAGGACGCCACUGGCAGGGCCAGAGACAGAGGCAUGCUCUCCAGAGGCCUGUCCUGCUGCUGCUGCUGCUAAGCAGGACUUUGGGCCAGCGGCCACCCAUCAUGACAUUGAAGCUGGCCCCAGAGAUCCCAGGAUAGAGGCCCCAGGGCAGCAUUGCCUGCUCCACCUCCACAGAGAAACAUCCCUGUGAGCUUGGGGUGUGGAGAAGACGAGGGAGGAGCCCUCCGUGGAUGCCUUGGACUUGGAGGUGUCUGCAUGGAUGAAGGCUCAGAUGGAAUCACCCCAGUUCUGCUGCUGCAGUAGCUGUGUGGCCGUGGGCAGGUUCUUCAAGCUGUGCCUCAGUCUCCCUGUCUGUAAAGGGGGACAUCAUGUACCCUUGGAGCAGGGUUGAGGUGAGGAGUCCACCAGAGCC